rnacentral:rRNA from 1 species
GACGAACGCUGGCGGCGUGCUUAACACAUGCAAGUCGAACGGAAAGGCCCCUUUGGGGGUACUCGAGUGGCGAACGGGUGAGUAACACGUGAGUAACCUGCCCUUGACUUCGGGAUAACUUCAGGAAACUGGGGCUAAUACCGGAUAGGAAUCCUUGCUGCAUGGUGGGGGUUGGAAAGCUUCGGCGGUUUUGGAUGGACUCGCGGCUUAUCAGCUUGUUGGUGGGGUAGUGGCUUACCAAGGCUUUGACGGGUAGCCGGCCUGAGAGGGCGACCGGCCACAGUGGGACUGAGAUACGGCCCAGACUCCUACGGGAGGCAGCAGUGGGGAAUAUUGCACAAUGGGCGGAAGCCUGAUGCAGCAACGCCGCGGGCGGGAGGACGGCCUUCGGGUUGGAAACCGCUUUCAGCAGGGGCGAAGCUUGUGGUGACGGUACCUGCAGAAGAAGCACCGGCUAACUACGUG